rnacentral:rRNA from 1 species
UACGUAGGGGGCAAGCGUUGUCCGGAUUUACUGGGCGUAAAGAGCGCGCAGGCGGCCGAGUAAGUCGGAUGUGAAAGCCCCCGGCUUAACUGGGGAAGGUCAUUCGAUACUGUUCGGCUUGAAGAUAGGAGAGGGAAGCGGAAUUUCAGGUGUAGUGGUGAAAUGCGUAGAUAUCUGAAGGAACACCAGUGGCGAAGGCGGCUUUCUGGCCUAUUCUUGACGCUGAGGCGCGAAAGCUAGGGGAGCGAACGGG